AGAGUUUGAUCAUGGCUCAGAACGUACGCUGGCGGCACGCCUAACACAUGCAAGUCGAACGAAGUAGCAAUACUUAGUGGCAGACGGGUGAGUAACAUGUAGGUAUCUGCCCUUUGGCCUGGAAUAACACGAGGAAACUUGUGCUAAUACCGGAUAAGUCUUUACGGAGAAAGCUUUAUGCACCAUUGGAUGAGCCUGCACUUGAUUAGUUUGUUGGUGGGGUAAUGGCCUACCAAGACUGUGAUCAAUAGCUGAUUUGAGAGGAUGAUCAGCCACAUUGGGACUGAGACACGGCCCAAACUCCUACGGGAGGCAGCAGUGGGGAAUCUUGCACAAUGGAGGAAACUCUGAUGCAGCGAUGCCGCGUGAGUGAAGAAGGCCUUUGGGUUGUAAAGCUCUUUCGUCGGGGAAGAAAAUGACUGUACCCGAAUAAGAAGGUCCGGCUAACUUCGUGCCAGCAGCCGCGGUAAUACGAAGGGACCUAGCGUAGUUCGGAAUUACUGGGCUUAAAGAGUUCGUAGGUGGUUGAAAAAGUUGGUGGUGAAAUCCCAGAGCUUAACUCUGGAACUGCCAUCAAAACUUUUCAGCUAGAGUAUGAUAGAGGAAAGCAGAAUUUCUAGUGUAGAGGUGAAAUUCGUAGAUAUUAGAAAGAAUACCAAUUGCGAAGGCAGCUUUCUGGAUCAUUACUGACACUGAGGAACGAAAGCAUGGGUAGCGAAGAGGAUUAGAUACCCUCGUAGUCCAUGCCGUAAACGAUGUGUGUUAGACGUUGGAAAUUUAUUUUCAGUGUCGCAGCGAAAGCGAUAAACACACCGCCUGGGGAGUACGACCGCAAGGUUAAAACUCAAAUGAAUUGACGGGGACCCGCACAAGUAGUGGAGCAUGUGGUUUAAUUCGAAGAUACGCGCAGAACCUUACCAACACUUGACAUGUUCGUCGCGACUCUAAGAGAUUAGAGUUUUCGGUUCGGCCGGACGAAACACAGGUGCUGCAUGGCUGUCGUCAGCUCGUGUCGUGAGAUGUUGGGUUAAGUCCCGCAACGAGCGCAACCCUCACUUUUAGUUGCCAUCAUUAAGUUGGGCACUCUGAAAGAACUGCCAGUGAUAAGCUGGAGGAAGGUGGGGAUGACGUCAAGUCCUCAUGGCCCUUACGUGUUGGGCUACACACGUGCUACAAUGGUAUCUACAACAGGAAGCAAGACUGCGAGGUCAAGCAAAUCCCUAAAAGAUACCUCAGUUCGGAUUGCACUCUGCAACUCGAGUGCAUGAAGCUGGAAUUACUAGUAAUCGUGGAUCAGCGUGCCACGGUGAAUGCGUUCCCGGGUCUUGUACACACCGCCCGUCACACCAUGGGAGUUGGUUCUACCUUAAGGCAAGGUUUAAAACCCUUGACCACGGUAUAGUCAGCGACUGGGGUGAAGUCGUAACAAGGUAGCCGUAGGGGAACCUGCGGCUG
rnacentral:rRNA from 1 species